GCAAGAGGGAACUGCCAAGGGAAGUUCUGAGAGGAGGUGUUUACCCUGCAUAAACACCUCGCCGUUUAGCUUGGCCUCCCUAGAAGCAGACCCUGAGGAGAGUGGGCAAAUGGACUACUAAGGAAGUGCUCCUGAGAGAAACCUGAAAAGGGGUGUAGGGAGCAAGGGAGGAUAAGGAGAAGACUCCAGUAAGGAUGAGAUUACUCAAGUCCCGUGGAAGACAGGUUAGCCUGAUCCUGCAGGGGAGCCCUGGAGGAUCAUCCCAGGAAGGAUCACUGAAUUGGGAGCCAGUCCCCUCACUCUUGAACUUAGUGCUCAUGUGAUCCUGGGAUCCCUGGCUUAACCAGCCACAAUACGGGUCACGAGAUGCAAUACAAGACCUGUAUAACACCAAACAGAAUGUAACUUGGAUUUUCUCAUCAUCAAAGGUUUUGAUGCUGCAAGACCCGGGGAGAAAAGAAUGGUGUAUGAUUUCUUGAUGGCAGUAAUAAAAUAGCACCGCUGAAGGCUUGAGCUUUGUAUUUUGUUCCUGGUACACAACACUGACUCUUCUCAGCUUAGAAAAUGAAAAACAGAAAAGCUUCCUUCUCAGAAUAGAAGACUGUUCUUGAGAUGACUUACAGUGAUAAUCGACAGUGUUAAGGGGUUCAUCAUCUUCGGGAAAGCUGACUGCCCUCAACUGGGAAACCAUCAGCAGCAGUAUGUAGGCACAAAGCAGGAAGACCCUCAUGGUGAGCCAAGGUGAAGCCAGGGUAGCCCCUGCUCAGAAAUGCCACUGAGCUACCUGGAAAACAGAAGCAAUUUGGAAAGAUCUCUAUGCUGCAACGAAAUGGGUUUCUUGUUUGUAAUCAGCUCAGUUUUCACCAUCAGCUCCCUCCAAAUCCCCUCUCCCACCAGGAAUGCUGGCAGUGGUAGAUCAGGUAUCGCCAAAAACACAGGCAAAAGAUGGCAGCAUGCCAGUCCUGAUUAAAGCAUCUGGUUGAGCAUACUGAAGUUUUCAGCAAAUUCACAAGAAUUUUGGAGGUAAUCGUAUGUCAUCACAGCAGAGUCACCAGAACCAUGAACAGAAAUGCUAGCUGCUGACUUGGCAAGAAGAUGGGCAAAGUUGGGAUCAGAAUUUUAAUUAAAUUCCAAUCCUCUUCCCUUCCCCCAGUCCUGAAAUAUAUCUAAUACAGCUUGUCUCUGCCCCCCAUAACAUGCUCAAGCUGCCUCAAAAAUAGCCAGAGGGCUGAUGAUCCUGUCAUAAUCUCUCCUCAGCUCUUUGCUUAUGGUGUUGCCAAAUUCCCAGCAUUACCCAAGCAUUAGCCCUAAAUUCUUAAGUCGAGUAUUUCCCUAUGCUUAGCAAGACCAACGUGGAGACAAUGACAUGAAUGACCCUGAAUCAGGGUGAAAGGGAAUUAAAAGAAAUACAAUGAUUCCAUGAUAACCAAUCAAGCAAAG